rnacentral:rRNA from 1 species
UACGUAGGGUGCAAGCGUUGUCCGGAAUUAUUGGGCGUAAAGCGCACGUAGGCGGACAUUUAAGUCAGGGGUGAAAUCCCAGAGCUCAACUCUGGAACUGCCUUUGAUACUGGGUGUCUUGAGUAUGGAAGAGGUGAGUGGAAUUCCGAGUGUAGAGGUGAAAUUCGUAGAUAUAUAAAAGAACACCGAUAUAGCGAAGACAGUUAACUAUUCUGCUACUGACAUUGAGGCAUGAAAGCGUGGGGAGCAAAACGG